UGGGGAAUAUUGGACAAUGGGCGCAAGCCUGAUCCAGCCAUGCCGCGUGAGUGAUGAAGGCCCUAGGGUUGUAAAGCUCUUUCACCGGUGAAGAUAAUGACGGUAACCGGAGAAGAAGCCCCGGCUAACUUCGUGCCAGCAGCCGCGGUAAUACGAAGGGGGCUAGCGUUGUUCGGAUUUACUGGGCGUAAAGCGCACGUAGGCGGACUUUUAAGUCAGGGGUGAAAUCCCGGGGCUCAACCCCGGAACUGCCUUUGGUACUGGAAGUCUUGAGUAUGGUAGAGGUGAGUGGAAUUCCGAAUGUAGAGGUGAAAUUCGUAGAUAUUCGGGGGAACACCAGGGGCGAAGGCGGCUCACUGGACCAUUACUGACGCUGAGGUGGGAAAGCGUGGGGAGCAAACAGG
rnacentral:rRNA from 1 species